AGUUUAUGAGCUUGUAAAGCAUAUAUUUUGAAAAUAUAAGAAAGAAUGGUGUCAUUCUAUUAACUU
rnacentral:tRNA from 1 species